ACUGGGCGUGGUGGUGCAUGCCUAUAAUCCCAGCCGCUUGGGAGGCUGAGGCAGGAGAAUUGAGAGUUCAAAGCCAGCCUCAGCAACUCAGUGAAACCCUGUCUCUA
rnacentral:sRNA from 1 species